rnacentral:rRNA from 1 species
GACGAACGCUGGCGGCGUGCCUAAUACAUGCAAGUCGAACGCAGUGGGGACGGGUGAGUAACACGUGGGUAACCUCCCAUCAGAGGGGAUAACACUUGGAAACAGGUGCUAAACCGAUACUGAUGGAUGGACCCGCGGUGCAUUAGCUAGUCGGUGGGGUAAAGGCUCACCUAGGCGACGAUCUGUAGCUGGUUUGAGAGGACGACCAGCCAUACUGGGACUGAGACACGGCCCAGACUCCUACGGGAGGCAGCAGUGGGGAAUAUUGGAAAAUGGGCGCAAACCUGAUGCAGCCAUUCCGCGUGUAUGAAGAAGGCCUUAGGGUUGUAAAGUACUUUCAGCGGAGAGGCGUUACCCGCAGAAGAAGCACCGGCUAACUACGUGCCAGCAGCCGCGGUAAUAC